rnacentral:rRNA from 1 species
CUGCAGUCUGCAACUCGACUGCACGAAGCUGGAAUCGCUAGUAAUCGCGAAUCAGAAUGUCGCGGUGAAUACGUUCCCGGGUCUUGUACACACCGCCCGUCACACCAUGGGAGUCGGUAACGCCCGAAGUCAGUGACCCAACCGCAAGGAGGGAGCUGCCGAAGGCGGGACUGGUAACUGGGGUGAAGUCGUAACAAGGUAUC